rnacentral:miRNA from 1 species
CUAGGGAGGCUGAAGCAGGAGGACUGAGAGUUUGAGGCCAGCUUCAGCAAAAAACUACACACACACACACACACACACACACACACACACACAUAUAUAUAUAUAUAUAUAUUUUAAUUCUUUAAGUCUUUCUAAGUUGCCAAGGUGGGCCUUGAACUCUCAAUCCUCCUGCCUCAGCUUCUCAAGUU